AGAGUUUGAUCCUGGCUCAGGAUGAACGCUGGCGGCGUGCCUAAUACAUGCAAGUCGAACGAAGUUUCGAGGAAGCUUGCUUCCAAAGAGACUUAGUGGCGAACGGGUGAGUAACACGUAGGUAACCUGCCCAUGUGUCCGGGAUAACUGCUGGAAACGGUAGCUAAAACCGGAUAGGUAUACAGAGCGCAUGCUCAGUAUAUUAAAGCGCCCAUCAAGGCGUGAACAUGGAUGGACCUGCGGCGCAUUAGCUAGUUGGUGAGGUAACGGCCCACCAAGGCGACGAUGCGUAGCCGACCUGAGAGGGUGAACGGCCACAUUGGGACUGAGACACGGCCCAAACUCCUACGGGAGGCAGCAGUAUGGAAUUUUCGUCAAUGGGGGGAACCCUGAACGAGCAAUGCCGCGUGAGUGAAGAAGGUCUUCGGAUCGUAAAGCUCUGUUGUAAGUGAAGAACGGCUCAUAGAGGAAAUGCUAUGGGAGUGACGGUAGCUUACCAGAAAGCCACGGCUAACUACGUGCCAGCAGCCGCGGUAAUACGUAGGUGGCAAGCGUUAUCCGGAAUCAUUGGGCGUAAAGGGUGCGUAGGUGGCGUACUAAGUCUGUAGUAAAAGGCAAUGGCUCAACCAUUGUAAGCUAUGGAAACUGGUAUGCUGGAGUGCAGAAGAGGGCGAUGGAAUUCCAUGUGUAGCGGUAAAAUGCGUAGAUAUAUGGAGGAACACCAGUGGCGAAGGCGGUCGCCUGGUCUGUAACUGACACUGAGGCACGAAAGCGUGGGGAGCAAAUAGGAUUAGAUACCCUAGUAGUCCACGCCGUAAACGAUGAGAACUAAGUGUUGGAGGAAUUCAGUGCUGCAGUUAACGCAAUAAGUUCUCCGCCUGGGGAGUAUGCACGCAAGUGUGAAACUCAAAGGAAUUGACGG
rnacentral:rRNA from 1 species